CAGCUUCGCAUGAAGCAGUGUGAAAAACUCCGGUGGUACAAGAUGGACCCGCGUCUGAUUAGCUGGUUGGUGAGGUAACGGCCCACCAAGGCGACGAUCAGUAGCCGGCCUGAGAGGGUGAACGGCCACAUUGGGACUGAGACACGGCCCAAACUCCUACGGGAGGCAGCAGUGGGGAAUAUUGCACAAUGGGGGAAACCCUGAUGCAGCAACGCCGCGUGAGUGAAGAAGUAUUUCGGUAUGUAAAGCUCUAUCAGCAGGAAAGAAAAUGACGGUACCUGACUAAGAAGCCCCGGCUAACUACGUGCCAGCAGCCGCGGUAAUACGUAGGGGGCAAGCGUUAUCCGGAUUUACUGGGUGUAAAGGGAGCGUAGACGGUUUUGCAAGUCUGAAGUGAAAGCCCGGGGCUUAACCCCGGGACUGCUUUGGAAACUGUAGGACUAGAGUGCAGGAGAGGUAAGUGGAAUUCCUAGUGUAGCGGUGAAAUGCGUAGAUAUUAGGAGGAACACCAGUGGCGAAGGCGGCUUACUGGACUGUAACUGACGUUGAGGCUCGAAAGCGUGGGGAGCAAACAGGAUUAGAUACCCUGGUAGUCCACGCCGUAAACGAUGAUUACUAGGUGUUGGUGGGUACGACCCAUCGGUGCCGCAGCAAAC
rnacentral:rRNA from 1 species